UUAAGCGACUAAGCGUACACGGUGGAUGCCCUGGCAGUCAGAGGCGAUGAAGGACGUGCUAAUCUGCGAAAAGCGUCGGUAAGGUGAUAUGAACCGUUAUAACCGGCGAUGUCCGAAUGGGGAAACCCAGUGUGAUUCGUCACACUAUCGUUAACUGAAUACAUAGGUUAACGAGGCGAACCGGGGGAACUGAAACAUCUAAGUACCCCGAGGAAAAGAAAUCAACCGAGAUUCCCCCAGUAGCGGCGAGCGAACGGGGAGCAGCCCAGAGUCUGAAUCAGCUUGUGUGUUAGUGGAACGGUCUGGAAAGUCCGACGGUACAGGGUGAUAGUCCCGUACACCAAAAUGCACAGGUUGUGAACUCGAAGAGUAGGGCGGGACACGUGGUAUCCUGUCUGAAUAUGGGGGGACCAUCCUCCAAGGCUAAAUACUCCUGACUGACCGAUAGUGAACCAGUACCGUGAGGGAAAGGCGAAAAGAACCCCGGCGAGGGGAGUGAAAAAGAACCUGAAACCGUGUACGUACAAGCAGUGGGAGCACCUUCGGGUGUGACUGCGUACCUUUUGUAUAAUGGGUCAGCGACUUAUAUUCUGUAGCAAGGUUAACCGUAUAGGGGAGCCGCAGGGAAACCGAGUCUUAACUGGGCGUUAAGUUGCAGGGUAUAGACCCGAAACCCGGUGAUCUAGCCAUGGGCAGGUUGAAGGUUGGGUAACACUAACUGGAGGACCGAACCGACUAAUGUUGAAAAAUUAGCGGAUGACUUGUGGCUGGGGGUGAAAGGCCAAUCAAACCGGGAGAUAGCUGGUUCUCCCCGAAAGCUAUUUAGGUAGCGCCUCGUGAAUUCAUCUUCGGGGGUAGAGCACUGUUUCGGCUAGGGGGUCAUCCCGACUUACCAACCCGAUGCAAACUACGAAUACCGAAGAAUGUUAUCACGGGAGACACACGGCGGGUGCUAACGUCCGUCGUGAAGAGGGAAACAACCCAGACCGCCAGCUAAGGUCCCAAAGUCAUGGUUAAGUGGGAAACGAUGUGGGAAGGCACAGACAGCCAGGAUGUUGGCUUAGAAGCAGCCAUCAUUUAAAGAAAGCGUAAUAGCUCACUGGUCGAGUCGGCCUGCGCGGAAGAUGUAACGGGGCUAAACCAUGCACCGAAGCUGCGGCAGCGACACUAUGUGUUGUUGGGUAGGGGAGCGUUCUGUAAGCCUGCGAAGGUGUGCUGUGAGGCAUGCUGGAGGUAUCAGAAGUGCGAAUGCUGACAUAAGUAACGAUAAAGCGGGUGAAAAGCCCGCUCGCCGGAAGACCAAGGGUUCCUGUCCAACGUUAAUCGGGGCAGGGUGAGUCGACCCCUAAGGCGAGGCCGAAAGGCGUAGUCGAUGGGAAACAGGUUAAUAUUCCUGUACUUGGUGUUACUGCGAAGGGGGGACGGAGAAGGCUAUGUUAGCCGGGCGACGGUUGUCCCGGUUUAAGCAUGUAGGCUGGUUGUCCAGGCAAAUCCGGAUAAUCAAGGCUGAGGUGUGAUGACGAGGCACUACGGUGCUGAAGUAACAAAUGCCCUGCUUCCAGGAAAAGCCUCUAAGCAUCAGGUAACAUCAAAUCGUACCCCAAACCGACACAGGUGGUCAGGUAGAGAAUACCAAGGCGCUUGAGAGAACUCGGGUGAAGGAACUAGGCAAAAUGGUGCCGUAACUUCGGGAGAAGGCACGCUGGUGUGUAGGUGAAGUCCCUGCGGAUGGAGCUGAGACCAGUCGAAGAUACCAGCUGGCUGCAACUGUUUAUUAAAAACACAGCACUGUGCAAACACGAAAGUGGACGUAUACGGUGUGACGCCUGCCCGGUGCCGGAAGGUUAAUUGAUGGGGUUAUCCGUAAGGAGAAGCUCUUGAUCGAAGCCCCGGUAAACGGCGGCCGUAACUAUAACGGUCCUAAGGUAGCGAAAUUCCUUGUCGGGUAAGUUCCGACCUGCACGAAUGGCGUAAUGAUGGCCAGGCUGUCUCCACCCGAGACUCAGUGAAAUUGAACUCGCUGUGAAGAUGCAGUGUACCCGCGGCAAGACGGAAAGACCCCGUGAACCUUUACUAUAGCUUGACACUGAACAUUGAGCCUUGAUGUGUAGGAUAGGUGGGAGGCUUUGAAGCGUGGACGCCAGUCUGCGUGGAGCCAACCUUGAAAUACCACCCUUUAAUGUUUGAUGUUCUAACGUUGGCCCCUUACCGGGGUUGCGGACAGUGUCUGGUGGGUAGUUUGACUGGGGCGGUCUCCUCCCAAAGCGUAACGGAGGAGCACGAAGGUUAGCUAAUCCUGGUCGGACAUCAGGAGGUUAGUGCAAUGGCAUAAGCUAGCUUGACUGCGAGCGUGACGGCGCGAGCAGGUGCGAAAGCAGGUCAUAGUGAUCCGGUGGUUCUGAAUGGAAGGGCCAUCGCUCAACGGAUAAAAGGUACUCCGGGGAUAACAGGCUGAUACCGCCCAAGAGUUCAUAUCGACGGCGGUGUUUGGCACCUCGAUGUCGGCUCAUCACAUCCUGGGGCUGAAGUAGGUCCCAAGGGUAUGGCUGUUCGCCAUUUAAAGUGGUACGCGAGCUGGGUUUAGAACGUCGUGAGACAGUUCGGUCCCUAUCUGCCGUGGGCGCUGGAGAAUUGAGGGGGGCUGCUCCUAGUACGAGAGGACCGGAGUGGACGCAUCACUGGUGUUCGGGUUGUCAUGCCAAUGGCACUGCCCGGUAGCUAAAUGCGGAAGAGAUAAGUGCUGAAAGCAUCUAAGCACGAAACUUGCCCCGAGAUGAGUUCUCCCUGAGACUUUAAGUCUCCUGAAGGAACGUUGAAGACGACGACGUUGAUAGGCCGGGUGUGUAAGCGCAGCGAUGCGUUGAGCUAACCGGUACUAAUGAACCGUGAGGCUUAACCUU
rnacentral:rRNA from 1 species